rnacentral:rRNA from 1 species
UACGGAGGGAGCUAGCGUUGUUCGGAAUUACUGGGCGUAAAGGGCUCGUAGGCGGCCAACUAAGUCAGACGUGAAAUCCCUCGGCUUAACCGGGGAACUGCGUCUGAUACUGGAUGGCUUGAGUGUGGGAGAGGGAUGCGGAAUUCCAGGUGUAGCGGUGAAAUGCGUAGAUAUCUGGAGGAACACCGGUGGCGAAGGCGGCAUCCUGGACCAUGACUGACACUGAAAAGCGAAAGCCAGGGGAGCAAACGGG